CGGCAGCUUUUGUGGCCGCCCCUCUCUGGCUCUGCUCUCUUCUCCCCCUUCCCGUCCCCGACGGCCGACCAUUUCCUGUCAUCUCCCAAUCCCUCGCUUUCCCACCUCCAUCCACCGGCCGCGCCCCGCGCCGCCGAAUCUCCGGCGAGAUGUCGCGCUUCGGGCGAUCCGGCCCGCCGCCAAUCCGCGACACCUACUCCCUCCUCGUCCUCAACAUCACCUUCCGGACGACGGCUGAUGACCUCUUCCCGCUCUUCGACAAGUACGGCGAGGUCGUCGACAUCUACAUCCCCAGGGACCGCAGGACUGGUGACUCCCGAGGCUUCGCGUUCGUGAGGUACAAGUACGAGGACGAGGCGCAGAAGGCAGUUGAUAGGCUCGAUGGGAGAGUGGUAGACGGGAGAGAGAUCAUGGUGCAGUUUGCCAAAUAUGGCCCAAAUGCUGAACGGAUUAAUAAAGGGAGAAUAGUGGAGCCAGUACCAAGGUCAAGAGGCCGUUCCAGAAGCCGCAGUCCAAGACGGAGGUACCGUGAUGAUUAUCGAGAUGAUUACCGGGAUAGAGAUUAUAGACGACGAAGUCGUAGUCGGAGUAGAGAUAGGUAUUCACGUGACAGUUACAGAGAGAGGGAUUAUCGUCGCCAUAGCAGGAGUCGCAGCUACAGCCCUGAUGGUUACAAGAAGCAUGGGAGGGACAGUUUGUCUCCUGCACGUAGAAGUCCUAGUCGUAGCCGAAGCCAAAGCCGAAGUCGCAGCUACAGUCCUGAUGAUAACAAGAGGCGUGGCAGAGACAGUGCAUCACCUGCGAGUAGGAGCCCUAGCCGGUCCCCACCUCGCAAGACAUCACCUUCUCCUGAGAGAUCUCCUGUCAGGCGCAAGCGCAAUGAUGACCGGUCUCCACGUUCUCGGAGCCCUUCGACAUGAGCAUUGUAUCAUUUGAAGCGCAUCUUUAACAUCUCAGGAUGAAUGGACUGGGCUAUGUGUUUUCUUGUUGGUGGGCCUUCUUCAGUUACAUUUCUGUAAUGCUGGCUGUCAGUCGCUGCUUCAAGCUUCGAGUACUACUUUCAUUUGGCACCAGUACCGCUUGUCAAGAACUUUAUUUGCAUGAUGGAGUGAAGAUGUGCUGGCUGAUUUGCGGUCAACAUGAACGUAGCUUACUGUUGAAGUUGAUAUAAUCUGUGCUGUUUGCCUUGUUGAUGAUGAUGAGUUGAUGUUGAUGGUGAUAAGAUGAUGGUGGCACUGCAGCUGCCUACACCACUUGCUGUCCGCACCUAUUAUGCUGACAAGUAAGAUUCCAAAGGUUUAGCUAACUUCAGAGUUCAAUUCUUUCUUAAUCAUGAAAUGCUUUCCCAAGUUUCUACAUGCCGGGUGCCACCACCAACCCCCCUAUUCGUUAUUUGGAUUUGAAUGUGUCUGCGGUGAUUUCUUACAGACAUCUUUUAGAUUUUUUUUCUUUUUUUUUGUCAUGAGCCCUUCAAAGACAUAUAGAUCAAUUGCUGCAUACUUUGGUCUUGCUGCUUCA